rnacentral:rRNA from 1 species
GGUUGUCCCGGUUUAAGCGUGUAGGUGUGUGUUCCAGGUAAAUCCGGUUCACUUUAACACUGAGGCGUGAUGACGAGGCACUACGGUGCUGAAGCAACAAAUGCCCUGCUUCCAGGAAAAGCCUCUAAGCAUCAGGUAACAUCAAAUCGUACCCCAAACCGACACAGGUGGUCAGGUAGAGAAUACCAAGGCGCUUGAGAGAACUCGGGUGAAGGAACUAGGCAAAAUGGUGCCGUAACUUCGGGAGAAGGCACGCUGACACGUAGGUGAAGUGAUUUACUCAUGGAGCUGAAGUCAGUCGAAGAUACCAGCUGGCUGCAACUGUUUAUUAAAAACACAGCACUGUGCAAACACGAAAGUGGACGUAUACGGUGUGACGCCUGCCCGGUGCCGGAAGGUUAAUUGAUGGGGUCAGCGCAAGCGAAGCUCCUGAUCGAAGCCCCGGUAAACGGCGGCCGUAACUAUAACGGUCCUAAGGUAGCGAAAUUCCUUGUCGGGUAAGUUCCGACCUGCACGAAUGGCGUAAUGAUGGCCAGGCUGUCUCCACCCGAGACUCAGUGAAAUUGAACUCGCUGUGAAGAUGCAGUGUACCCGCGGCAAGACGGAAAGACCCCGUGAACCUUUACUAUAGCUUGACACUGAACAUUGAGCCUUGAUGUGUAGGAUAGGUGGGAGGCUUUGAAGUGUGGACGCCAGUCUGCAUGGAGCCGGCCUUGAAAUACCACCCUUUAAUGUUUGAUGUUCUAACGUGGACCCGUGAUCCGGGUUGCGGACAGUGUCUGGUGGGUAGUUUGACUGGGGCGGUCUCCUCCUAAAGAGUAACGGAGGAGCACGAAGGUUGGCUAAUCCUGGUCGGACAUCAGGAGGUUAGUGCAAUGGCAUAAGCCAGCUUGACUGCGAGCGUGACGGCGCGAGCAGGUGCGAAAGCAGGUCAUAGUGAUCCGGUGGUUCUGAAUGGAAGGGCCAUCGCUCAACGGAUAAAAGGUACUCCGGGGAUAACAGGCUGAUACCGCCCAAGAGUUCAUAUCGACGGCGGUGUUUGGCACCUCGAUGUCGGCUCAUCACAUCCUGGGGCUGAAGUAGGUCCCAAGGGUAUGGCUGUUCGCCAUUUAAAGUGGUACGCGAGCUGGGUUUAGAACGUCGUGAGACAGUUCGGUCCCUAUCUGCCGUGGGCGCUGGAGAACUGAGGGGGGCUGCUCCUAGUACGAGAGGACCGGAGUGGACGCAUCACUGGUGUUCGGGUUGUCAUGCCAAUGGCACUGCCCGGUAGCUAAAUGCGGAAGAGAUAAGUGCUGAAAGCAUCUAAGCACGAAACUUGCCCCGAGAUGAGUUCUCCCUGAGACUUUAGGUCUCCUGAAGGAACGUUGAAGACGACGACGUUGAUAGGCCGGGUGUGUAAGCGCAGCGAUGCGUUGAGCUAACCGGUACUAAUGAACCGUGAGGCUUAACCUUACA